AUUGAACGCUGGCGGCAGGCCUAACACAUGCAAGUCGAACGGUAACAGGAAGCAGCUUGCUGCUUCGCUGACGAGUGGCGGACGGGUGAGUAAUGUCUGGGAAACUGCCUGAUGGAGGGGGAUAACUACUGGAAACGGUAGCUAAUACCGCAUAAUGUCGCAAGACCAAAGAGGGGGACCUUCGGGCCUCUUGCCAUCGGAUGUGCCCAGAUGGGAUUAGCUUGUUGGUGGGGUAACGGCUCACCAAGGCGACGAUCCCUAGCUGGUCUGAGAGGAUGACCAGCCACACUGGAACUGAAACACGGUCCAGACCCCUACGGGAGGCAGCAGUGGGGAAUAUUGCACAAUGGGCGCAAGCCUGAUGCAGCCAUGCCGCGUGUAUGAAGAAGGCCUUCGGGUUGUAAAGUACUUUCAGCGAGGAGGAGGCUCUUUUGGUUAAUACCCAAGAUGAGUGGACGUUACUCGCAGAAUAAGCACCGGCUAACUCUGUGCCAGCCGCCGCAGUAA
rnacentral:rRNA from 1 species